rnacentral:lncRNA from 1 species
AUGAAAACUGCUUGGCCAGAGGGAGGUUCCCCAAAGGUGAGAGACUUCUCCACACUGUUCAAGACCCUGCCCUGGGGAGCCCUCCCUGCUCUGUGGCCACUGCCCAGCCCAGGUCUCACCAUAGCAUCUGGUCCCCAGCAGGCUGAGCCCCCUGAGGCUCGGGGUCAGGUCUGUGCCGACUUUGCAGCCCUGCGACAGUGGAUUCUCAUUAAACGCUUCCUGAGAGCAAAGACAUGAGGGCUGGAACCUGGCUCCCCUGCAUGCAGACUACAUCUGCCAGGUGCGGUGCUAGGAGAGGCAGGUAAGAGAAGGUUCCGCCUCCCAGCACGUUUCCUUCUAAGGGGAGGCAGAGGCUAAACAAAUAUAUAUGACCACCCUGAACAGUUCCUGAAGGCAAAUAAGUGACAGUAUGUGGAGCGGGAUGUGACCUUGACCAGGGUCUGAGGUUUCCUGAAAGAAGCCGUGUUUGAGGCCUGAUCUAAAAGCUGAGCAGGAACAACUACCCAGGGAGCUCCCGUUGUGGCUCCUUGGGUUUUUUAGGGCCGUGGAUGUGGCCCUAAAAAAGACCCCCCCCCAAGAAAAAUCAUGAAGUUGAAUUUCAGAGAGGGAUAAAUGCUCCAAGGAGUGAUGCGAUGGAACCAAGGGGGAGGGUGGGCUGGGGGCUGCAGGGGGCGGGGGUCAGGGUCAUGCAACCUCUGAGGAUGCAAAGAGGUAGUGGAAAAGCAUUGCAGCUGGGGGGAACAGUCAAGGCAAAGUCUUGAGGUUGGACGAGAGACCAGGGGGCUGGAAGGGGAAGUCGUGGUGGGAGAGGGGCCCUGGGGGUGGAACAGGCCUGGACGGCCCUGGGGAGCUUAACCCUGGGGAGGCCUGGGGGGUUUCAGGCAGGAGUGAUGGGCUCCAUUCCCCCUGACCUGCCAGAAUCUCCCUUCUCGCUCAUUCUGGAAACCCCCUCAGCCCCAGUUCCCUAUUUCAGCCCUUUCCAGCCCAGCUGCCUCCCUUACCCCCGUUACAGGUACUCCCUGGGCUGGAAUUUCCCAAGAUCUGCCGUCUGGGAGGGGAACGAACACUGGUGACCAUCAUUGUCAAGGCCACGGUGCGUGGACCGCCGACCCUGUGCCCCGCCUCGUGCUGGACACUGUGACCUGGCCCCUCAGCCCCUCACUAGGACCCUUCAGGUUUUCCCGCCCCGCUGUGCAGUCCAGGAGACCUGGAUGCAGAGUGACUUGCUCACGGCCAUGUGCCCAAAGGCAGGAGCCAAGACUGGAACCCAGCUCAGGCGUAUCCUAAAGGCUUGUCAAAUCCUACUGGAGCCUGGGGAUAGUUUUGUGCAAGUGGGAGUUCCAGAUUCUUCUGCCUCUUUCCCACCUGCCUCCCUUCACUCCCCCCACCCCCACUUUGGUAAAGGUCGCCGCCAGCUCCCUGGUUGCUGAGCCUGAUGCUCCAGACCCAAGCUGCCCCCUCUCCUUGGCUGCCCCCUCUUUCAGGGGCCAGUCCUGAAGUGCCACUCUGAUAGGCCUUGUUGUAGCUUCGCUACCCAGUGUAUCUGGCUAGGGGUUCUCUCUCCCAUCUCCUCCCCCAGCCCCCCCCGCCACCUUUUUUUUGAAGAUAGGGCCUCUUGUGAGGGACCAGACAAAGUGCUUCUUCUUCCUCUUUUUUUUUAGGGCUGCACCUGCGGCAUAUGGAGGUUCCCAGGCUAAAGGUCAAAUCACAGUUGUCGCUGCCGGCCUAUACCACAGCCACAGCAAUGCUAGAUCCAAGCUGUGUCUGUAAUCUACACCACAGCUCACGGCAAUGCCAGAUUCUUAACCCACUGAGCGAGGCCAGGGAUCAAACCUGUGUCCUCAUGGAUGCUAGUCAGAUUCAUUUCCGUUGAGCCACGUUGGGAACUCCCUUUUUUUUUUUUUUUUUUUCUUUUCUUUUUAGGGCUGCACCUGCACCAUAUUGAAGUGAAAUUCCCAGGCUAGGGGUCACAUUGAAGCUGCAGCUGCCAGCCUACGCUGCAGCCACAGCAACACCGUGUUCUUAACCCACUGAUCGAGGCCAGGGAUGGAACCCGCAUUCUCAUGGAUACUAGUCGGGUUCGUAGCCUGCUGAACCACGGCAGGCACUCCCUCUCCCUCUCCCUCCCUCUUGAGAAAAAAAGGACAAAAUUAAAUUGUGGCGAGUUAUCAUCGAUCUCGAGAAAGCCGCACUGAGGUCUGUGGGCACCUUUCUUUGAAGAUGCACCUCACGUGGUUGCAGUGGAUAAGGGGGCGCUGGAGGCCAGGCCAGCUGGCCGGUCCCUGGUGUCCUCAUAGAAUAUCGCAGGGCGGGCAAGCUACUCCCACCCUAGAGCCGCAUAGGGAGGUGGCGGCCCCCACAGCCCACCCCUUCGGCCAUAAGAGACUCCAUGAGGGGCUCACUGCCACUACCCUGCCUUCCUUGAAGCAGUGUCCUCCUGGGGAGGCCAUGUUCUAAAACUGCCUGUGGUGAUGGGUGCGUAACCCCAUGAAGGCACCAAAAACCACUGACUUACACUCUUUAAAUGGGGGAAUUGCAGAGUGGGUGAAUUAUAGCUCCAUGUAUCUAUUUGAAAACACACACAACGCAGUUCCCCGGUGGCCUAAUGGUUAAGGACCCGGUGUUCUCACUGCUAAGGCAUGGGUUGCUGCCGUGGUGCGGGUUUGAUCUCUGGUCCUGGACUUUUGCAUGCUAUGGGUGUACCCCCCAGGAGAAAAAAAAACCACACACACCCUUAACCUAAGUGUCCUGUGUCUUCCCCAGGGAGGCCAGACAAAUGAAAUGUGGGGAAAAAAAUCAUGACAACACUCAAAUAUUACCUGAUAGGGACAAUCAAAGCUAACAAUUUCUUUUUCUUUUUUGGCUGUGCCAGCAGCAUGCAGAAAUUCCCAGGCCAGGGAUAGAACCUGUGCUACAGCAAUAACCAGAGCCACAGUGGUGACAACGCUGGAUCCUUAACCCACGGUGCCACCAGGGAACUCUCUGGGCUAACACAUCUUUAGUGCUGGUGACAUGCUGUUAACUGCUAUGACUCUCACCCCAGCUCUGUCAGGCAGACCUUAUUAUGUUCCCCCUUGACAGAUGGGGAAACUGAGGCACACGGUGGGGAAUGCGACUUGCCAAGUUCACAUGAAAAGACAUGUCAGGGCAAGAUUUAAGCCCCAGGAGUUCCUGUUGUGGCUCAGCGGGUUAAGAACCCAACAUAGUAUCUGUGAGGAUGCAGGUUCCAUCCCUGGCCUCGCUCAGUGGGUUACGGAUCUGGCGUUGCCCUGAGCUGUGGUGGUGGUUGCAGACGCAGCUCAGAUCCCGUGUUGCUGUGGCUGUGGUGUAGACUGGCAGCUGUGGCUCCAAUUAGAUCCCUAGGCUGGGAACCUCCAUGUGCUGUGGGUGUGGCCCUAAAAAGAAGAAAAAAAAAGAUUUCAGCCCCACCGUCUAGCUCCAGUACCCUCUCAUCAACCCCAGACAGAGACAGCGGUAAGGAAGAUACCCGUGUAAUAUCAACAAGUGUCCCCACUAGUGGUUCCUCCAUGUUCCUAUCAGCAUCAGUGACCCACAGGCUGGUCUAGUUUCAGACAACACCCCCCCUCCUUUUUUUUUUUUACUGGAAUCAUGUGAAGCAUAUCUUUUGAGAAAGAUGCAACUUCCUCUAAAUCAUCUUAUUUCAGCUCUACCCCCUCCUCUGCCCCCCCUGCCCCCCUCCACUUCCCCACAUACCCCUGCUGGAUUCUUCUAUUGCACGUCUUAUUGUCCUAUCAUUUCAUUCAUAAAUUCUGCAGAAUGCAUCUCUGUGAUAAGACCUCUUCUCCAACAAUCACAUUUUCGUUUAAUUACCACUUUCAUACCCACGAGAGGUUAAUGAUUCAGUAACAUCCUCCCAAGUCGACCCCCACCCCUGUUGUUUCCGAAAUGUAUUAAUGUGAACUUGGGCCAAAUCAAGAGACGAUGUUCAUACAUUGCAUUUGGCUGGGGUAGCUCUUAAAUCCCUUGUACGCUAGAAGGAUUCUUUUUAUUUCCUUGACGUUUAGUCGUGCAGAAAGUGUGAGAUCGUGGCUCUUUGGCAUUGAUUUGCUGCCUCUUAAACGCCCUCCAGCAAAAACGGAAAGGGUGGUGGGUGGAGGGGGUAACGGGUGAUGGGAGCCUGGCCCAGCCUCCGGGCCUGGUGGAGAGUCUGGUAUUUCCACCUCGCUGGUCAUCUGGAAAGAGAAAAUACUGGGCCUUGGCGGAAAGGAGCCGCACAUUGAUGUUGGCAGCAGCUAAAUACAUGCAUUUGUCCGUUUUGUCACAAAUGCUGUCAAUACUACCUUUCAAAGCAUAUCUGGGAGUUCCCGUCAUGGCGCAGCAGAAACAAAUCCGACUGGCAAUCCAUGAGGUUGCAGGUUUGAUUCCUGGCCUCACUCAGCGGGUUGAGGAUCUGGCAACGCUGUGAGCUGUGGUGUAAGUGGCGGACAUGGCUCAGAUUGGGCAUUGCUGUGGCUGUGGCUAUGGCCAGCAGCUGUAGCUCUGAUUCGACCCCUAGCCUGGGAACCUCCACAUGUUGCAGGUGUGGUCCUAAAAAGACAAAAAAGAUGAAAAGAAAAAAAAACCAUCUCUGAAACCUUCCCUUUUUUUUUUUUUAUUACUCAAAUGAAUUUAUCACAUCUGUAGUUGUAUAAUGAUCAUAACAAUCUGAUUUCACAGGAUUUCUAUCCCACAGCCCAAGCACAUCCCCCCACCCCCUAAACUGUCUCCUCCGGAGACCAUAAGUUUUUCAAAGCCUGUGAGUCAGCAUCUGUUCUGCAAAAAAUUUCAGUCUAUCCUUUUUUCAGAUUCCGCAUGUCAAUGAAAGCAUUUGAUGUUGGUGUCUCACUGUAUGGCUGACUUCACUUAGCAAGAUAGUUUCUAGGUCCGUCCAUGUUGCUAAAAAUGCCAGUAUUUCGUUCCUUUUAAUGGCUGAGUCAUAUUCCAUUGUGUAUAUGUACAUCUUCUUGAUCCACUCCUCUGUUGAUGGAUAUUUAGGUUGUUUCCAUGUCUUGGCUAUUGUAAAUAGUGCUGCAAUAAACAUUGGAGUACGUGUGUCUUUGCGAG